AUUGAACGCUGGCGGCAGGCCUAACACAUGCAAGUCGAACGCGUGGCGGACGGGUGAGUAAUGUCUGGGAAACUGCCUUAAGGAGGGGGAUAACUACUGGAAACGGUAGCUAAUACCGCAUACCAUCGGAUGUGCCCAGAUGGGAUUAGCUAGUAGGUGGGGUAAAGGCUCACCAAGGCGACGAUCCCUAGCUGGUCUGAGAGGAUGACCAGCCACACUGGAACUGAGAAACGGUCCAGACGCCUACGGGAGGCAGCAGUGGGGAAUAUUGCACAAUGGGCGCAAGCCUGAUGCAGCCAUGCCGCGUGUAUGAAGAAGGCCUUCGGGUUGUAAAGUUCUUUUAGCGGGGAGGCGUUACCUGCAGAAGAAGCAGCGGCUAACUCCGUGCCAGCAGCGGCGGUAAUAC
rnacentral:rRNA from 1 species